rnacentral:misc_RNA from 1 species
CCGAGUGAGGGCCUCCCCGGCCCGACCUCCAACCCUUUGUGAACACAACUUGUUGCUUCGGGGGCGACCCUGCCGUUUUGACGGCGAGCGCCCCCGGAGGCCUUCAAACACUGCAUCUUUGCGUCGGAGUUUAAGUAAAUUUAAACA